rnacentral:misc_RNA from 1 species
GAAGAACCUAGUCCUUCAUAUGGAGGCUGUUGUGCAAUAAUAUGUAUUACUAAAAAUGCCAAUGCAUACCAGAGAGCCAAGUGAUAAUCCAUAACUAAAGCAAUGGCAGUAAGGAAAAUCUUAGCAAACAACAAAGUAUCUUGAAUGAAGGAUUCCCAGCUUUCUGUCCUUACUAUCUUCACAACAGUUAAGACACAGUAUGCAACAAACACUUGAAUCUCUCGUUUAAGCAGGAACGAAUUGCGAGCAGGGUCAAGGAUUUGGAAAGCGGAGCAUCGAACGGGGAUGUAUGAGAAGAAAACUAGCAAGUGAAACAGAUAAUACGGCUCCGAAACCAUCAGAUUCAACCAUCUCACUGGAUCGUAAGAAGAUUCCUGAUCUCGUUGAACACUCGAUCCGCCAUUGCUGUUCUUCGACAUAGCUGCAGAUCCACCAAAUGAGCUUUUUGAUUCUGCAAAAAUGCUAAGAAG